GUCAUCCAGGCUGCGGCCGCAAAAUGGCCGCCACCUGACCUGUGACGCUCAGGGGGUGGUGAGGUAGCUCCGCGCUUGGAACCUGGGCGGCUAUAGUCGUGGGUUAUUCCGCAGCGUCGUCCCCGAGGUGGGGCUGGGAUGAGAUGUAAGCGGAUUCUGUAAAGAAAAUCGGAAACCGCAGAGAGCAUGCUUCCAAAGACAGUGUUUAGGUUGUCUGGAGAGUAAAUGUUGCAGGUUCAGAGAAGAAGGAAGUAGCCCUGUAGUAACCCAACUGCUCCAUCAAUGGUGCAUUUUACAUAUGAAAUAAUGAAGAUUAAAACUAUGUCAAGAAACAGUAGUUCUUAAGUCAAGCACAAAGAAUUGCUGCCUUUUGCAUCCACUGAGAUUUUGAUGUCACCAUGCUUUGCUUUGUACUCCUUCCAUGUGUAAAUGAGGAGAAAAGUUUUUAAUUAUAAAUGAGCCCGUUUGUUUUGGGAUUUCUUCUGCAGUAUAAUGGUAGAGAUUCUAACAACAAAGCUUCCUCCAUUGCAUACCAUCUAAAUCAUCUGCAGACCAGUAGUUUGUGAAGACUGACCAGAAGAGGUAGAUGGAUACUACAUCACUUCACAAAAUGAAGAUAAACAGUUGUGGUUUUGUUUCUCAGCAUACCACCAAACCAUGUGUUUUGGUAAGUUUGCAGCAUCUUUUCUGUUUCUGGCUUCUUUGAGGUUGUGGAGAUACCUUUCUUUUGAGAACAACUGGUGGCACUGCACAGUCAAGCCCACAAGUAGUUUACCAGUGCCGUAUACCAUGAAUGAUGAGGUGAGAUUAAAAAGCAUUAGCCUCAAACUAGCACACCCUUACAGGAUGAGAGGACCAUGGUAAACAAUUAGUUGUGCACAGAUGAAUCUGAAGUUGUAAAUGGUAUACUGCAAAAACCAGACUUAAAAACUUUAUAGGAAUAGGUUUGCUUAGGCAUCAUAUAGAGGCAUCAUGUGACUUAGCACAGUUAGGCAGAUUUGUCAUUGCGAUAGAAGACCCACGUAUGCAUGUUAUGGUGCUACAAAACCUAUUGUGAAAUGGAAAGAUCAUUGCAGUUUCUAAGGAACGUAUAGCAUGCGUUAUGACUCUUGUUCCUUCACCAGCCUGCUGUUCAAGAGAAGGAUACUGAAUUCUCUCCAGAGAAGUUCAGCUCUGAUGUUGACACUUAAAUGCUGCAGCAAUCCUGAGUUGAUCUUAUUAAUCUUUAAAAACAAAUAUGAUACUAUGUAGAUGAUACACCUUAGCAGGGAAGAAAUGUGUCUCCAUCCUUCAAUGAAAAGGAGAUGGAUGCCAAAGCAGAUAAAUAGCUUUUGGGCUUGUUUACAUGAUCCUUACUUAUUGAAGAUGAUCAGAGGGCUGGAGUGCCUCUCCUAUGAGGACAGGCUACAAGAUUUGGGGCUCUUAAGCCUGGAAAAGAGAAGGCUUUGAGAAGACCUUGUAGUAACCUUUCAGUAUC